rnacentral:misc_RNA from 1 species
CUCUGCCUGACCUGCCUCGGCGCAGCCCCACGCGACGUACGCCACGGAACGACGCGCCGACCGAGCCAAGCCAGUACUACCACGUCCCCCCAGCCAAACCAAACGCAGGCACGGCACGGCACGGCGCGGUGCUCAUUCGCAUUCCCCAGCCCCACCGAUCGGAUCGGCAAAAUCCCUCCCACCAGCUCCCCACAGAUCCCGGCGUCCCCACCGCACAUCCCUCCCUGCUUCCUUCCCCCAUCGCCCCGGCCGCGGAGGCGGAGCUUCCCCCCACGCCACGAUGGCGGAGUGCCGCAGCCUCAUCGAGUUCCUCCGCGCGUUCGAGCACCACCGCAGGGCGGCCGACAUCUCCGCCUCCGCGUGCUCCCGAUCCAGGCGGGCCGGGGCCUCCUCCGCCGCAGGCGGCUCCUUCUGCGACAGCGCCCCGAUGGCCGUGGUCGACGCGGUCAUGCUCCUCGCCGUCGUCACCGCGCUCGGCUUCCUCCUGAUCCCCUACCUCAAGCUGCUGCUCCUCGAGAUGGGCGCGCUGCUCCACCCCGCCGCGUCCUGCCUCCCGGCCGCCGCCUUCUUCGGGGCCGCCGUCGCCGUCGCCGCGGCCGUCGUCGCCUGGGAGCUGCUGGGCCACCACGCGCGCAAGUGCGGCAAGCCCAGGUGCAGGGGCCUCAAGAAGGCCGUCGAGUUCGACAUCCAGCUGGAGACCGAGGAGUGCGUGCGCGGCCGCCCCGGCCCCGCGGCGCGAUCGGCGCUGCUGGCCGCGGCGGGGGCGCGCCCCGUCGACCUAGGCGACGACCAGCGGGAGCUGGAGGCCGAGCUGCGCAAGAUGGCGCCGCCCAACGGCCGUACCGUCCUCAUCUUCCGCGCCCCCUGCGGCUGCCCCAAGGGCCGCAUGGAGGUCUGGGGCGCCAAGAAGGUGCGCCGGAUCAAGAAGUGAAGGGGGGAACAAGGAUCGGAUGGUUACUUGUUAGUGCAAUAGUACUAGCGCACUCUUGUUCCUACCUCGAUCCUCGUAAGUAGCUACUGCUAGGAAAAAAAAUCCUCAGUAAUAAUAAGUAUAAGUAUAGGGAGACGAAAUAAACGGAACACAGAACCAGUUAUUAUCACAGAUAGCUUAUAUAGACAAUAAUAUACUCCUUGUAUUAUGAACCAGUGGCGAAUUUGGACAGAAAUACAUGCUGUUUACUUGUUCAUUCUCUAAUUUUCAUGGGAUCCUGGAUAAUUGAUACAGUAGCAACAUAGACAAUAUCUUAGUCAGUAGCUGCUUGCUCCUUUGGCUGUCUUU